rnacentral:tRNA from 1 species
UGUCGGUGAGCGCCCCGCCGGCGCCGCUAUUGCCGCCAUCGCUGGUGGUCAUGGUCAGCAGGACCGUGCCGUUGAAGUCGGCAAUCGGCGU